rnacentral:rRNA from 1 species
CAGUCGCCGCGGUAAUACCGAGGGUGCGAGCGUUAAUCGGAUUUACUGGGCGUAAAGCGUGCGUAGGCGGCUAAUUGAGUCGGAUGUGAAAUCCCCGAGCUUAACUUGGGAAUCGCAUUCGAUACUGGUUAGCUAGAGUGUGGGAGAGGAUGGUAGAAUUCCAGGUGUAGCGGUGAAAUGCGUAGAGAUCUGGAGGAAUACCGAUGGCGAAGGCAGCCAUCUGGCCUAACACUGACGCUGAGGUACGAAAGCAUGGGGAGCAAACAGGAUUAGAUACCCCAGUAGUCCCUGUCUCUUAUAA